GCGAAGGUGGUAUAACGAAUAGCAUAACUGCCCUCCAAGUAGUUGACCCAUGUUCGACUCCUGGCCGUCGCA